UACGGAAGGCAGCAGUGGGGAAUAUUGCACAAUGGGCGCAAGCCUGAUGCAGCCAUGCCGCGUGUAUGAAGAAGGCCCUUCGGGUUGUAAAGUACUUUCAGUCGUGAGGAAGGUGUUAAGGUUAAUAACCUUAGCAAUUGACGUUAGCGACAGAAGAAGCACCGGCUAACUCCGUGCCAGCAGCCGCGGUAAUACGGAGGGUGCGAGCGUUAAUCGGAAUUACUGGGCGUAAAGGGCACGCAGGCGGUUAAUUAAGUUGGAUGUGAAAUCCCCGGGCUUAACCUGGGAAUGGCAUUCAAGACUGGUUAGCUAGAGUCUUGUAGAGGGGGUAGAAUUCCAUGUGUAGCGGUGAAAUGCGUAGAGAUGUGGAGGAAUACCGGUGGGCGAAGGCGGCCCCUGGGACAAAGACUGACGCUCAUGUGCGAAAGCGUGGGGAGCAAAC
rnacentral:rRNA from 1 species